UACAGAGGUCCCGAGCGUUGUUCGGAUUCAUUGGGCGUAAAGGGUGCGUAGGCGGCUUCCUAAGUUUGAUGUGAAAUCCUGGGGCUCAACCCUGGAACUGCAUUGAAUACUGGGAGGCUAGAGUACUGGAGAGGAAACUGGAAUUUACGGUGUAGCAGUGAAAUGCGUAGAGAUCGUAAGGAAGAUCAGUGGCGAAGGCGAGUUUCUGGACAGUUACUGACGCUGAGGCACGAAGGCCAGGGGAGCAAACGGG
rnacentral:rRNA from 1 species